rnacentral:rRNA from 1 species
UACGUAGGGUACGAGCGUUAAUCGGAAUUACUGGGCGUAAAGCGCGUGUAGGCGGGUUGUUAAGUCCGCUGUGAAAGCCCGGUGCUCAACGCCGGAGGGUCGGUGGAUACUGGCAGUCUUGAAGUGGCUAGGGGGAAAUGGAAUUACCGGUGUAGCGGUGAAAUGCGUAGAUAUCGGUAGGAACACCAGUGGCGAAGGCGGUUUCCUGGAGCUAACUUGACGCUGAGACGCGAAAGCUGGGGGAGUAAACGGG